GACGAACGCUGGCGGCGUGCUUAACACAUGCCAGUCGAACGGAAAGGCCCUGCUUUUGUGGGGUGCUCGAGUGGCGAACGGGUGAGUAACACGUGAGUAACUUGCCCUUGACUUUGGGAUAACUUCAGGAAACUGGGGCUAAUACCGGAUAGGAGCUCCUGCUGCAUGGUGGGGGUUGGAAAGUUUCGGCGGUUGGGGAUGGACUCGCGGCUUAUCAGCUUGUUGGUGGGGUAGUGGCUUACCAAGGCUUUGACGGGUAGCCGGCCUGAGAGGGUGACCGGCCACAUUGGGACUGAGAUACGGCCCAGACUCCUACGGGAGGCAGCAGUGGGGAAUAUUGCACAAUGGGCGGAAGCCUGAUGCAGCAACGCCGCGUGCGGGAUGACGGCCUUCGGGUUGUAAACCGCUUUCGCCUGUGACGAAGCGUGAGUGACGGUAAUGGGUAAAGAAGCACCGGCUAACUACGUG
rnacentral:rRNA from 1 species